CCGGGCGCCUGCGGGAAGCGCAGGGACGGGCUGGGCCAAAGCUGGUGCCGAGGCUCCUCUCCGAAGCGCCAGGUGCCUCCCACCCAGCAUCGUGGCGGGACGCAGCACCCGGACUGCGCGGGAAAAAAGGGGCCGGAACUGGUGUUAUUGGUCUUUCCUCUCCUUAAGCAGGUCAAACGCGAUCGUUCAGAGCUAUUGAUUGCUCCACGGGCUUGUAGUGAUUUGUUAAAAGGCUAAUGGAAUGAGUCAUCGACAGAGUGGAUUAUUUAAAGCACCAUCGGGCCGGUGACCGAGGGGGAGAGCAACUCUUUUAAAGCGCGCAGACCGACGGGCGAAGUCGUGGGGAGGCAUUGACACUGCCGAGACCGCUGCGACUGGGGCAAUGAACGGAGGCAACAGCACUGCGCCCACAACCCCGGCACCCGCCACCACGGGUGAGAAGGGUGCGAGACCUUCUCCCCACCAGCGUCUUCUCCCUGCCUUUGUAUGCACACGGUUGUGUCUGAUUUCUCGCUCGUAUUUACCAAUAAACACAAU